AAGAGUGAAACAUGUAAUGCAUCAACAAAAUGAUAAUUGAUUACAUUGUCCAUCACAGGUCGAAGUUCAUCAACAUUGUACAUCAACUUUUAAAAAACUGGAAAAAGUCACAAAAGAAAUUCAUAGACGAAAAACUACAAAUCAUGUCAACCCCUUUCGUUUAUUAUGACAUUCGACAUUUGCAUUGCCUUUUCAUAUUGUCACGAUUAUCUCCACAUCUUUUUCGUGAGUUAAUCGACACGUUGUUUCAAACAUGCAAGCGACAUUAUUUUCUAAUCCAGUUAGCAAAUGAUUAGUAGAGGAGUUGCCAACGGAACUUGAUUCACCGGACAUUUCACCCUCUUUUACCAACUCCCAAAAUCCACAUUUUUUGCUAUAAUACUUGAACAAUUUACCUUUGUUGUUUGGGUUCUUUACCACUACAAAACACUUCACAUGUACAGCUUUACACCACGGGCAAGGGGCCUUAUUUUGACAAUCCACAAACAAGUGACCGCUUCGUCU
rnacentral:lncRNA from 1 species